rnacentral:rRNA from 1 species
UACGGAGGGUGCAAGCGUUAUCCGGAUUCACUGGGUUUAAAGGGUGCGUAGGCGGACAGGUAAGUCAGUGGUGAAAUCUCUGGGCUUAACCCAGAAACUGCCGUUGAUACUAUUUGUCUUGAAUAUCCUGGAGGUAGGCGGAAUAUGUCAUGUAGCGGUGAAAUGCUUAGAUAUGACAUAGAACACCGAUAGCGAAGGCAGCUUACUACAGGAUGAUUGACGCUGAGGACGAAGCGUGGGGAGCAAACAGG